GGGAAGGCUUUAUGGUCAGAGUUGAGGCCUCAAUGCAGGACUAAUGACAAGUGUGACUAUACCAGAGCCGGGGGACCCACUACACUAAACCCUCAUCGUAUUUCAGUCGGGAUGUUACCAAAACAAUCUGCCAAGAUGGUUUCAAGAAAAGCCUCAUGCAAGUGUCAACAAAACCACAGCCCUGCCCUUGACCCGGACGGGAUUUCACCCUCCCGGGUCAGAUUAGUCCAGUGGCAGCUGGACACCUUCCCAAGCACCUAAGGCGGCCCCUGGAAUCCUGGCCCCUUUUCCUGGAGGAGGGGAGACGUGGCCUAAGCAGAGCACAGCCUGAAUGCAGCCAGAGCCAUCCCGCCAACCCGAGAUUUGCCGAGCCUACCGCAUAGAGGUCCAGCUCAGCCCGUCUUCAAGUGGAGAGAAGCUGCCACGUGGCCCCAUUGGUUGCUUCUGACAAAUCAGGGGAAAGGAAGAAGUAGAAGACGAAUGUGCACGUGACCUCAUCUGGCCCCGAGAUCGCCCACCGGUCUUGCCAAUGGACCUCAAACUCAGAGAAACCCAGGGAGGAGCACUCUUUGCCGUAGGAACCAAGAGAUGCAGCUGUGUUGAGAACAUACUAGAGGAAAGCAGGGGUCAAGCAGGCGGACGCACAACAGAAAGGCUGGUGGGAGGCUGCUGACACGUGCUCUCGUGUGUAAACACAAGGAGGCGGCAGAAUUGGAGGCGGCUGGGCACCUGAAGUGAGCCUGCAGCUUGGAGUGACCCGGGGCAGGAGGGCCAAACCCCAGCUCUGCCCUUCAGCCCCACACAGACAGGACUGAGCAGAAGGACCGGUUUGGAAGCAUCCCCUGAGACAGGAGGGACGGUGGGCGAUCUCCCUUCUCUCUGGGGCUGGAGGUUCACCGGGUCACCUUCGAGCCUGCAUCAGUGCCAUCACCAAGAGCACCUGGCCUACUCCCCACCAGCCCACGGCGUUCGGAACGAACGGGGAGUUGCGCUUCUGAGUUCUGAGAUUUUCCGCUCGUAGGCAACCAGAGAAAACUUUUGGAGCCAAGGUGCAGUAUCGGCCUCCCACCCAACCGUCCCAUCCCCACGCUGGAUGCUGGCAUUGUUCUCCGUGUCUCUGGGCACCUCGUGCCAGCACCUCACCAACCAAAACAGAAAGAGUUGACUCAAGGGCCGGUCCCUUGAGCACAGGGAACCAAAUCAUGCCCCCAAAUCAUGGGCGGCAUGGCCACUAUGCCUUUGAGUUGAAGACAAGCUCUGUGGGGUUGUGCUUCCAAAUCAGGAUCCAGGGGACAGAGUCCUGUCCUAUCUCCCCUGUAAGAUGAGACAGGGAGGCUCCGGUCCUACCCCAUUCCUCCACCGCCAGGGAGCCGGAGUCCCACACGGCCCGUCCUGUUCCUUCUCUGAUCUCACAGUUGUCCCUCCACGUUCCCCUCUCCCAUUCACCCAGCUCCAGCCUCCCAAUCCCUGCUGCCCUUCCGAAGCUGCCAGGCACGACCCCCUCGGGGACACUGCACCUGCUACUCCGUCAGUCCCCAGAUGUCUGCCCGGCUCACUCCCUCCCUUCCUGGGGCUCCCCCCAAACAGUAUGUAGCCUUCCCGGCUGCCCUUCUCCUAUGCUCUGUACCCCCGACCCCUUCACCUCCUCUCAGGGCACAGGCCACCCUCUGAGACAUCCCCAAGCUCACCUACUCAUCCUGUCGACUGCCUGAACCCCUCCUCGUGCUAGAAUAUAAACUCCAGGAAGGCAAAGGUCUGUGACUGUUUUAACGGCUGUGUCCCAGCACCCAGGACAGCACCUGGCCCACACUGAGUGCUUAAUAAACAUUCAUGAGAUAAGUAAACACUUUGAAAAGCCAAUUGCAUCUUAUUGGCUGUUAAUUGUUUCUUUGAAAACCAGGGACACGAAAUAAAGAUGAAGUGUAAGGGUGACUGUGGGAUGCGUCAUCACACUGCCCAGAACCGAAGACCCGAAGACCCGUGUGGAGGUGCUGGGGGGCGCCCAGCAGAGGGCCGGGCCUUCCUAAAUCAGCCUCCUCAGCAUCAGGUUCGUGGCACACUGGCCCUUCUGACCAGACAGCCUUCCUCUGGACUGUUGACAUUGAGCCCGUCUGGAUCUUCAGCUUGGGCCAAGACUCGAAACCAACACUCAGGGCACGUGUGACCGCCCCCCCCCCCCCCCACACACACACACUCCAAAUGUGCUGUGCUUGCUAGUCGGGAGGAUAGCUGAUUUGGGGUGUCAAGUUAGCCAACUGACAUUCGAGGACAGUCUCCUCGCGUACGAUGUCAGGGAGCCGCCGGUUAAAAUGAAGCCACGCGUUGCACGUUCCUGAGUCAGCUCGGGUCUAGGGAGAUUUGGCCUCUCCGUAACUUUAAUUUUAAGCUAAUUCCUAAAGCUGGAGGAGAUUUGCAACACAGGCUGAUGGAUCAUCGCAAAGUCUCAAAAGUCCUGUGAACACUUUCAAAUGCAUUUGGGGAAGGCCUUAUCGCAAAGCUCAGCUUCAACUGGCCAAACCCCCAAGGAAGACACGGGCCCGUUCGAGGACAGCAAGUGCACGCACCCACGGGACAUAUGCCCGUGUGUGAGGCAAGCCAGCGUCCCAGCGACAAGCGAACCGGCCGCCUUGUGACUCGGGAGCAGCUGAGAGGGCAAGAGGAAGGCAAGAACUUGCUGGGGGGCCACUCAGAGAGCCCGGGGGGUGGGGGUGGGGGGCGGGAAUCACUGCUUUGCUCACAGAGCUCGAAGCCUGGGAGAACCCACCGGUGGCCUGGAAAGAGCCCCUCCACGCAGGAGCAGGGCUCACCACGCCCUGGCCACGAGGCUGCACCGAAGCACACAGAAGACUCUCCCCUCCCCCGAGAAGACCCAUUCCUGCAAGUCUUAGUUUACUAAUUCCAUCAAAUAUUAAACUUUUAAUUGUAUUUUGUUUUUCAAAUGACUCCCGCUGUGACUAUCUAGUUAGCGCUGGCCUCACUCGCGUAAUUACCUGGACUUUCCAAGUGCAGUGUUAUUUUACCUUGG